rnacentral:misc_RNA from 1 species
GAUGAAGAACGUAGCGAAAUGCGAUAAGUAAUGUGAAUUGCAGAAUUCAGUGAAUCAUCGAAUCUUUGAACGCACAUUGCGCCCCUUGGUAUUCCGAGGGGCAUGCCUGUUCGAGCGUCAUUAUAACCCCUCAAGCUCAGCUUGGUGUUGGGGCCUGCCGCACGGGCAGCCCUUAAAAUCAGUGGCGGAGCCAUCUGGCUCUAAGCGUAGUAAUUCUUCUCGCUAUAGAGUCCCGGUGGAUGCUUGCCAUUAACCCCCAAUUUUCUAUGGUUGACCUCGGAUCAGGUAGGGAUACCCGCUGAACUUAAGCAUAUCAAUAAGCGGAGGA